rnacentral:lncRNA from 1 species
CGCUAAAGAUAUAGCUUCACAAAAUAUUCAUAAAAUAUCUAAAUAUUCAUCUAAAUUUGUUGUUUGUUCUGCCCUUAGUUUUCUGGUGUUUAAAAGCCAUAUCAAGGUGUUGCUUCCUUCUUCCCUCCCACUGCCCGCCUACUCUUCGACAGUUAUACCAGAGACAGAAAUAUCAAGUACUGGAAAAGGCAAAAUAUCUCUUCUUUACAAAAGUUAACCAAGAGGAGAAUUGCAUGCUACUGCAUGGAGCAGAUCCCUCCUGCCUUCUGAGAACGACAAGAAAAUCGCAUAAAGGAGUACUAAUUAAGGUGUGGUCCAUAGACGAGAGACUGUCUGUGAACUGUCUGUGAUCAAUAAAUAGAGAAAUUGAUGGGUGGGGCAUGGGAGUGGGCGCGUGUGAAUCACAGCUAGGAGAGAGGACUGCUUGCGUUAGAGUCCAUCCUGGUCAAUAACGAGGUGCUCUCUCUAAAAACAAAACAAAACAACGAAACGAAAACUCAGCAGGCCACCAACCGGGACACUCCCCAGGUCAAAUGACCGAGCCUCUAAUUCUGUGAUUGUUGUUGCUGUGCUCACGUUAUUAAAACAAACAAACAAAAAGUGAAGAUGUUUAGAACGUUUACAGUACUUUGGCAUUGUCCUGAUAUCCGAGCUCCUGAUCAGCAGACUCUAUUCAGCCAGGUAUAGGGCAGUUCGAGUGCUGUCAAAUUUGUGAUUCCCAUGAGGCCAGGCUGCUUACCGGUGAUGCAUAAAGGACCACAUCCUGGUUCGUGAAGAAUUUGGAGGUAGGGGAGAAGGAGGGAGAAACUGGUCCUUUAUCACAGGUGGUUUGAGAGCACUGAUGUAAACUAUCGUCACACUUUUGUAGUAUAAUUUGCUAUUAAUCCUCAAUAGAUCAUUUACACUAAGUCGGAAAAAAGUGGAAACAUCAGAUAUGUGGGAUAUGCGUCACCUUGUACAUUUCUCAGCUGGAAAAGUGUAAAACAUCUCAAUUUUGCACCUCCCUUUUCAAACGUGUCUUUGGCUAAAUCAAUGUUGGCUGUAACCGCUCGUCCUCGAGCGAGCCCUGCCAUCUUGUGGUUGAAGGUGUUGACUGCAACAGAG